AGCUCAGGUCAUGAUCUCGUGGUCCAUGAGUUCGAGCCCCGCGUCAGGCUCUGUGCUGACAGCUAAGAGCCUGGAGCCUGCUUCAGAUUCUGUGUCUCCUUCUCUCUGACCCUCCCCUGUUCAUGCUCUGUCUCUCUCUGUCUCAAAAAUAAAUAAACCACAAUUUAAGAAUUAGAGAAAUCAGUGACUCAUUAAAAAGGAACAACAUCAGAAUCAUAGGGGUCCCAAAAGAGGAAGAGGGAGAAAUAGGGGUAGAAGGGUUAUGUGAGCAAAUCAUAGCAGAAAAUUUUCCUAACCUGGGGAAAGACACAGACAUCAAAAUCCAGGAAGCACAGAGGACCCCCAUUAGAUUCAACAAAAACAGACCAUCAACAAGACAUAUCAUAGUGAAAUUCACAAAAUACUCAGGCAAGGAGAGAAUCAUGAAAGCAGCAAGGUAAAAAAAAGUCCCUAACCUAAAAGGGAAGACAGAUCAGGUUUGCAGCAGACCUAUCCACAGAAACAUGGCAGGCCAGAAAGGAGUGGCAGGAUAUAUUCAAUGUGCUGAAUCAGAAAAAUAUGCAGCCAAGAAUUCUUUAUCCAGCAAGGCUGUCAUUCAAAAUAGAAGGAGAGAUAAAAAGUUUCCCAGACAAACAAAAAUUAAAGGAGUUUGUGACCACUAAACCAGCCCUGCAAGAAAUUUUAAGGGGGACUUUCUGAGGGGAAAAAAGAUGAAA